rnacentral:rRNA from 1 species
AUUGAACACUGGCGGCACGCCUUACACAUGCAAGUUGAGCGGGUGCACAGGAGAGCUUUCUCUUUGGGUUAAGAGGGGCGGAAGGGGUAAUAUAUUUGGGAAACUCCCUAAUGGAGGGGGAAAAAUUCUGGGAACGGGAGGUUAUUCCGCAAAAGUUUUUGGGCCAAAAGUGGGGGACCUUUUGGGCCCCACGCCCUUCAGAAGUGCCCCGGAUGGGAUUAGCUAGUAGGGGGGGUAAAGGCUCACCCAGGCGACGAUCCCCUAGCUUGUUUGAGGAGGGUGACCCAGCCACACUGGAACUGAGACACCGGUCCAAACUCCUACGGGGGGGCAGCAGUGGGGGAAUUUUUGCACAAAUGGGGGCAAGCCCUGAUGCAGCCAUGCCGCGUGGUGAAGAAGGCCUUCGGGUUGUAAAGCACUUUCAGCGAGGAAGAAGGGUGGUGUGUUAAUAGCACAUUGCAUUGGCGUUACUUGCAGAAGAAGCACCGGCUAACUCCGUGCCAGCAGCCGCGGUAAUACAGAGGGUGCAAGCGUUAAUCGGAAUUACUGGGCGUAAAGCGCGCGUAGGUGGUUCGUUAAGUUGGAUGUGAAAUCCCCGGGCUCAACCUGGGAACUGCAUUCAAAACUGACGAGCUAGAGUAUGGUAGAGGGUGGUGGAAUUUCCUGUGUAGCGGUGAAAUGCGUAGAUAUAGGAAGGAACACCAGUGGCGAAGGCGACCACCUGGACUGAUACUGACACUGAGGUGCGAAAGCGUGGGGAGCAAACAGG